GUACAGGUGCACGCAGGACGAUGACGACGAUGAGCAGUGGAGGAGAGUUGAGUUAAUGAGCACCCAUCCUCCAUCCUUUAGCGCCCCCUAGAGCCAGUGGCUUCCUUAACAGGGCGGUAUCUAGUCGAAUCUGCAUCUUUGAUUCCUUCAACCAGCGAUGACAUCCUGGGCACAGAAGAACGUAACAUUCCUGGAAGCCUCUGUCAGUGAGAAAAUGAUGCUAUGGUCAGAAGCUAUCAUAUGGAAUGAUGCUUUCUUGGCACUUGUGCUUAGAUCUAUUCAGUCAGCAUGGUGUCAGCAUCUCUGCGGCAUUAACAGCAGCACACAUGAAAGCAAACGGACGAAACAAGCUCCCAACUUCUAAUUGUGAAUAUUUGCUACGCGGGGCCACGGGAAAUGCUUAUGGCUGAGAGACCGGGAGGACCAGGUGACAGUUUGGUGCCCUCCACAGCCAGUGAGCAGGUAUGCCAGGUCACAUCAGAGGAAGGGCCGAGGCAGUUUGAUGACCCAGAAUGUUCUGUAAGAGUGCUGCAGAGGCCAGAAGGAAAACUGGACAGAGUGACUGAGAGAGAGGCUCGCUUGGGUGCAAACGAAGAGCAUGCGGUGUUUUGAAGCACCUGGGUACAGCAAGACCCACGACUCAUCCCACUCAGGAGUACAUUAGGAGUCCUCCAUUCAGGAAGGAGGAGGAGGAGGAGGAUAACCUCUGAGAAUCAUCAACAUCCAUUUUGGCCCGCCGGAAAUAACUCCUGAGCCACCUCAGCCCCAAGGACCCUGCAAACACCGAACAGACUCACCUUCUUCCAAAACAACUUUCCCAGCGGUAGCGAGAUAUUUUCCUUUCAAGAAGGAAAAAAAGGGGGAGACUUGUUAGUGAGGGUGCUUAUUAAAUGACCACUAACUCCCAGUCUCUGCUUCCCCUGCAUCACUGGAUAAGGACUCGCAAAGCCCAGAUAUAUCUAGACGUGAGUGAGUAUUGACAUUCAAGGUUUAGCAUCAGAUUCUUUCGAGCUGACCCCACUACAGCAAGCAUCUUCAUUCCAUGUCUUUUGCUCUCUGGACUUCGAGACAGGAUCCCUUUAAAUUCCCAGACGAUUUCUGACCAAAAGAAAAAUAUCUGACAAUAAAAAUGGGAUUCAGACAAAUUCAG
rnacentral:lncRNA from 1 species